rnacentral:lncRNA from 1 species
UAUCGAUGAGCUCAGGAGAAUCAUUUUUAAGGUUGGAACCAAAUGAAUCAAAAGGAAAGAGAAUAGAAACAUUGCCAUUUUUUAUUAUAUUUUUUUCUGUAAAAAAAAUGAAAAACAGGGAACACCGCUUUUUGAUAAAAAACAUCCAUUUAUUAAUGAUGCCGAAAUGUUGCAAAAUGAAACAUGAGGUGGCCCUUACAAUGGACCAUUACGUGUCGGGCAACACGUAUGGCUUUCAUGCAAACAAAAUUAAAACACAGAAAUACUAUACUUCCGGAUGAGCGACAGUGAUGCUUUCGGAGGCCCUCCAAUCGCCUGGCACGCACGACUUUAUCCACGCCUCAAGCUCGCGGUCGCUGUCAACAUCUUCACCCACUGAACG